UCUUAUGGAUGAGCAGGGAGAGUGGUUUCUAGAGAUAGAAUCGACUCCUGGUGAAGAUGCUGGGAA
rnacentral:pre_miRNA from 1 species